GUCCCUGUAGCGCAAUGAGUAGCGCGUUGGACUUCUAAUCCAAAGUUCGUGGAUUGGAAUCCCACCUGGGAUG
rnacentral:tRNA from 1 species